rnacentral:rRNA from 1 species
GACGAACGCUGGCGGCGUGCUUAACACAUGCAAGUCGAACGGAAAGGCCCUGCUUUUGUGGGGUGCUCGAGUGGCGAACGGGUGAGUAACACGUGAGUAACCUGCCCUUGACUUUGGGAUAACUUCAGGAAACUGGGGCUAAUACCGGAUAGGAGCUCCUGCUGCAUGGUGGGGGUUGGAACGUUUCGGCGGUUGGGGAUGGACUCGCGGCUUAUGAGCUUGUUGGUGGGGUAGUGGCUUACCAAGGCUUUGACGGGUAGCCGGCCUGGGAGGGUGACCGGCCACAAUGGGACUGAGAUACGGCCCAGACUGCUACGGGAGGCAGCAGUGGGGAAUAUUGCACAAUGGGCGGAAGCCUGAGGCAGCAACGCCGCGUGCGGGAUGACGGCCUUCGGGUUGUAAACCGCUUUCGCCUGUGACGAAGCGUGAGUGACGGUAAUGGGUAAAGAAGCACCGGCUAACUACGUG